AUGGACGCAGCCUGAUCCAGCCAUGCCGCGUGAGUGAUGACGGCCUCUAGGGUUGUAAAGCUCUUUCGCCAGGGACGAUAAUGACGGUACCUGAAGAAGAAGCCCCGGCUAACUUCGUGCCAGCAGCCGCGGUAAUA
rnacentral:rRNA from 1 species